rnacentral:lncRNA from 1 species
UUAUUUUUGACUGAAAUUGGUUUAGCCAAGCCUUACUUAAUCACAAGACAGAGUAAUGGUUCAGUUUGUUGUAAUACACUGAUAUAUACACUAAACAUGGCGUUAUGUCCAUCAAGAAAAAAAAAACAUGGUCAUAUGUUUACACAAAUACUAUAGUUGCUAAAAGAAAUGUUGGUACAAAUAGGUUGGCCCCAACUAAGCCUACCUUAAACAGAGUCUUCUGGACAGCACAACCAUCACAGCACAUGUCUAGCUUGGGGAAUUUUCCAUUUUGGUACCGGGUCUUUACAAUUUUCAUGAACGUAGCGUGGCCAUUCCUGAGGUAGCAUUCGGUGUAGAAGACGACAGCAGCUACGAGGAUGACGGCAACGGCUUUAAUACAGUCCUGUUCCUUUGCCAUGACGAGGAAAGAAAAAAGGAAGAAGCAGAUCAAACGCUGGUCCCAUACGUCUCUCUGAUCACAUCACAUCACUCAAAGAAAGAAAAGAAAAAAGACACUAACUCCUUAAGUGAGGCCAAAAACAUCAAAAUUAAUUGCCGUGUUGCUACAGCAGUACAGCUAAAUAUAAAAAAGACUACUCCUAAGUGAGGCAGUUGACUGAAGAGUUAACGCUACUGCCUUCUCUAGUUAACCAAACUUUCUUAAGACAACAAAUACAAAAAUAGAACAGCAUUGAUCAACUAAGCACAAUUAGAAUUGCGGUUAUUUUUAGUGGUUGGCGAAUUCAAAUAAUAAAUAAAUAAAUAAAUAUGGAUUGUAUCCCUUGGGGGCAUGGAUGUUGAUCAUGCACUGGGAGUAAUCUACACAGUUUUGUGGAAACUCUGAAUGUUCCGUCACUACCUCGAGCAGGUUAGCCAAGGUUCGUUUUGACAGCAUCUGAUAACCUUGCUAGUUGAUUUCUCAUGAGAUGGACAGCACGCGCCAGCAUCUCCUACACAGUAGAGCCUGAGAACGCCCCUAACACAGCCAAAGUAAUCCACGAUUACCUGCACAGAAGGUUGGAAAGUGUAACGCCAAACGACAAGCAGAUAGAUUACUUUGCAAGUCAUAACACCCAUAGAAAGGAAAACGACCAGGUAUGCCUGACAAUAGACGAGAGAAAGUAAAGAGAGUGCAGCAAUAGUUCUGGGGCUAGCAAGUUGAGAUUGUGUACAUCAACCUAGUAUAAAUUGACCAAAACAAUCUAACAAUAAAUGGACAUCAAAGCACAUCUCCAGCCCCUGCAUUCAAAACGACAGUGCAUGUUUUCAUGCAGUUUAACAUCUCUAUAGUAUCACAUAUGUAUGUUUAAAUCCAGAAGUUUCAUUUAAUAUGGAUACUGGUGGGCAAGUCACAUUCGAAAUCAUAGUUCUAAAAUUGUUUGUUGUGCAGGAAUUGGCAACAUCUUCACACAUGUGUACCACAAGGAAAAAACCUAUCAAAAUUAUAAAUGGAGCAAGCGGGACAAUUCGUCCAUCACGGUAAGCAGCUCUACUUUUUACUAAAUCGAUAAUGGUUGAUACUGUUUAUCUCAGAAUAAGUGUUCCACUGAAAAACAUGUAACACUCCAUAUCAGCAGUUCAUCGUUCAUUAAUUUAUUACUCACCUACCAUGCUGAAUUUUUGCGAUCCCGUUACAUAAUCAGGAUGACACUUCUUCUAGGAGCACCUGGUUCUGGGAAAACUACUUUUUUAAAAGCAUUGGCAGGAAAGUUGGAUUCUUCUUUGAAGGUAGACUGAGUUAUCUACUUGCCACCGAAACCACUUACUAACAAGAUAAUCAUUGAUUAACCAGCAUUGUUUUUUUCUUGAUAUCACAUCUCUUAAUAGCUCAAAGGAAAGGUCAUGUACAAUGGAGAAGAAGUGAAUUCCUCAACACCUCAAUACCUGCAUGCCUACAUUAGCCAGUAUGAUCUUCAUCAUGCUGAGAUGACCGUCAGAGAGACGAUUGAUUUCUCUUCCAAGAUGUUGGGAACCAAUAAUGAAUUUGGUGAGACACCCUCUUGGGUAUGGGGAUAUAGCUUUAGUUCCCGUGUAUAUGAAUGAGCUAAUUUAUAACCAAACCCAGACACUGAAAAUUAAGAAGCACUCCUUUCAAGGGUUUUUUUUUAACUUUGCAUGACAUAAAUACUAAUGCAAAAUUCCUGUUUGAAAUGGUCGCCUUAGAGAUGCUGGGAGAAGCAAUAAGAAGGAAAAAGGGUGUCAUCAACAAAGUGGACCAAGAUCUUGACUCUUUUAUUAAGGUUACUAAUUUUAUUUUCCGCCAAUUUUGGUAAAACUGGAAUCCAGUUCCCCCAAUUGCUUAAAUCUGUUUUCUGCAGGCUACCACCUUCGGAGAAGGAAGCAACCUUACAACAAACUAUAUUAUCAAGGUAAAUUCGUAACUUUUCAAUUUAUACAUUUGUCUUCAUAACAUAAUCACAGACUUUGUGUAAAUGCAGAUACUUGGUUUGUCCGAGUGUGCAGAUACCCUAGUGGGGGAUGAGAUGAGAAGAGGCAUAUCAGGAGGACAAAAAAAGAGAGCCACGAUUGGUAAGGAUUCUAUAGUGUUUACUAUGUAUCUUGUUCCUCUUAUCACCCUCUGUUCCCACUUUAUAGAGUGCAUUUUUCUAAUGCGACAUUAUUUCAUAAUAAAAAUAUGGGUUUAUGUUAUAGUCCUUGGCACAAUAAAAAAAAUUAUCACCUCAACAACUUAUAUUUUGUACAGUAUUGCUUGAUGAAACAAAGAUCCUAGUUAAACCCACAAUGAAAAGAUUGUAAAGUAACAAAAUGUCAAAAUGACACCAUAAUUUCUUGACAUGUUCGAUUAAAUGGACUAUGAAAACAGUAUACGUGUACUUUUGUAGUGAGUCGGUCACGAUAUUAUAGAAUGCUCUCUUCCUGCAGAACUCUGUAUUGUUCUCAAGAAAAAAUAAUUUGAGGAUGAUAUUUAUUCUACUGAAUAAGGGCAACUCUGAAUAUGUCAGAUGCUCUGUUUUUAAGGCGUCCCGCCUUGGACGCUUAGGCGAUAAGGCGCCCCGCCAGCGCCUUACAAAUAUGCCCGCCUUAGGCGCUUAGGCGUUGCCUAGGCGAUAAGGCGCCCCCCCAGCGCCUUAGAUCGCCUUACCGCCUUAAAAACAUAGGUCAGAUGUAACUAGAAAUUACGUAGAUUGCUGGAAGGUACCCACACUGCAAUGUGCUGCAUUUAUAAUAUAUAUUUUCCAUAGCCUAUUCUGCUUACGAAUAUGUCAGAUGUAACUAGAAAUUAAGUAGAUUGCUGGAAGGUACCCACACUGCCAUGUGCUGCAUUUAUAAUAUAUAUUUUCCAUAGCCUAUUCUGCUUACAAAUAUGCCAGUUAUACAGAAGAUGGUGCCAGUACCAAAGUUAACAACUAUAAAUAUUGACGAUGUAAUCAACAUUGGUUUUCUUUUAUCAAUGUGUCAUUGUUGCUAUAUUUUUAAGAUGAAUUCACUAAUGCAGGAGAGAUGCUAGUUGGUCUAGCAAGAUGCUUCUUUAUGGAUGACAUAUCAACAGGUCUAGAUAGCUCCACCACAUACGAGAUUGUAAAGUUUCUCCAACAAAUGGCUCAUCUGAUGGAUCUCACUGUGGUUAUUUCCUUGCUUCAACCACCUCCUGAGACGUUGGAGUUAUUUGACGACAUAAUCCUUUUAUGCGAGGGGCAAAUUGUAUAUCAUGGUCCUCGAGAAAAUGCUACUGGUUUCUUUGAAAUUAUGGGAUUCAAAUGCCCCAGCAGGAAGAAUGUAGCUGAUUUCCUUCAAGAGGUAUUAGAUUAUAAACUCUAAUAAGAGGGAACUACUGAAUAAAUCUAUAUUGCUAACUUGAGGGCAGCCAGUGCAUAAAUAUCAGAAAGUAACAAUAUAGCAUGCAGUACAUGAGUUGCAAUUCCAUCCACAAAAUUCACUAUUAUGUUAUAUGUACUUGUUCGUGCAUAAUAAUGCAAGUAACUGACAGCAACUUUUCUUCAUUUGACCAGGUGACCUCGAAGAUGGAUCAAAAGCAAUACUGGAUUGGUGAUGAAAAUAAGUAUCAAUACCGGUCAAUCGAAAAAUUUGCAGAAUCUUUUCGUUCAUCCUAUCUCCCACGACCUGCGAAAGACGAUCUCUGCAGGACAAACAAUACAGGAAAGAGAAAGGAGAUUAUAACAAGUGCAACUCGCAGGAUCUCUAGAUGGAAUAUUUUCAAGGCAUGCUUUUCAAGGGAAGUAUUGCUUCUUAAAAGAAACUCCCCACUUCAUAUAUUUAAGACUGUACAGAUAACUGUUAUGGCUUUGGUGAUCUCAACGGUUUUCCUUCGAACAAAUAUGAACCAUAAAACUGUACUCGAUGCCAAUAAGUACAUGGGAUCACUCUUUAUGGCUGUUGUGAUAGUAAACUUCAAUGGCAUGACUGAAAUUGGAAUGACAAUAAAGCGACUCCCCACUUUCUACAAGCAAAGAGAGUUACUAGCAUUGCCAGGAUGGGCACUUCUUUCUUCGGUAUUCCUUAUCAGCCUCCCAAUGUCACUUCUAGAGACAGGUCUGUGGACCAGCUUAACCUACUAUGUGAUUGGCUACGCACCUUCCUUUCUCAGGUACCCCUCCUAGUCAAUUCAAUAUCUAAUGAGCAAAAUACUUGAAUAAGCUGGAAUAACAGAAAGAGUUACCUUGCUUCUUGCAGAUUCAUCCAGCAGUUUUUGGUACUUUUUGCCAUGCAUCAAAUGUCAAUGGGCCUCUAUCGUUUCUUAGCGGCAAUAGGAAGGACGCAAGUAAUGGCCAACAUGCUAGGCACCGCAGCUCUCAUAGCAAUCUACAUAUUUGGAGGCUUUGUCAUAUCAAAAGGUUAGAUGUUUUAGCUCAGAAUACCGUAAGAUGUAUGCAACGAAGAUGCUUACCAGUUUUGUACAUUGAAACAGAUAACCUCCAACCAUGGUUGCAGUGGGGAUACUGGACAUCCCCAUUCACCUAUGCACAGAAUGCUGUUGCCCUAAAUGAGUUCCUUGAUGAAAGAUGGGCUAGUGUAAGCAAUUGUUUCAACUAACAUUCUUGAUCCAAUGUACAUAACCCGUGCAAUUAGUUAUGACCUGAUGAUGAUUUUUUCAUGCUGACAGGAAUUUUACUAUGCAAAUGCUAAAACAGUUGGUGAAGCUAUCCUCAAGAUCAGGGGGUUGCUCACAGAGUGGCAUUGGUACUGGAUUUGUGUCGGCAUUUUAUUUGGAUUCUCGCUGGUCCUCAACAUCCUCACUAUAUUUGCACUAGAGUUCAUGAACUGUAUGUAUACCAAAGCUAUCAAAAUCCUCAUAAGUAUUGAAACAUAAAUGCAAACAAAAUCCAUCACAUUUGUUCAUAAUUUGUAGCUCCACACAAGCAUCAAGUUAAUAUCGAUUCCACGAAGACAAAAACGGAGUGCAAGAAACAGAAAGUUGGAACUCGCAAUGCAUCAACUGGUCAAGUUGCCCUCCCGUUUCAGCCUCUUUCCCUUGUAUUUGAUCAUAUCAACUAUUUUGUUGACAUGCCUAAGGUAACAUCUUGAGCACAUAGUGCCUUACUGAAUACUUGCAUCCAUUUCAUUUCCAGUCACGUUUGACCAAACGUAUGCAUAUCUUCCACCAGGAAAUGAUGAAGUAUGGAGUAACAGAGAAAAAGCUUCAACUGCUGCAAGAUGUCAGUGGUGUUUUCAGGCCAGGGGUGUUAACAGCUCUGAUGGGGAUCACUGGUGCUGGAAAGACAACAUUGCUCGACGUUUUGGCUGGAAGAAAAACUGGAGGAUAUAUUGAAGGUACUAUUAGGAUAGCAGGAUACCCAAAGAAGCAGGACACAUUCUCAAGGAUCUCGGGCUACUGUGAACAGAGUGACAUUCACUCCCCUAACCUCACUGUGCAUGAGUCACUACAGUUCUCGGCAUGGCUUCGACUUCCUUCGAACGUUAACUCUCGCCAAAGAGAUGUAUAAGCAUUGACCUUUUGCAAUCUUUAUCAUCUUUGAAGCUAAUAUAUAACAAUAGAUCUAACAAGAUUUUCCUACAAGCACGUUUCAGAUGUUUAUAGAUGAAGUAAUGGACCUAGUUGAAUUGACUGGACUGAAGAAUGCCAUGGUGGGAAUAGCAGGAGCAACUGGCCUGUCAGCUGAGCAGCGAAAAAGGCUAACAAUAGCAGUGGAGCUGGUAGCUAGUCCUUCCAUUAUAUUCAUGGACGAGCCAACCACUGGCUUGGAUGCCCGUGCUGCAGCAAUUGUGAUGAGAACAGUAAGAAAGACAGUAGACACUGGACGAACUGUAGUCUGCACAAUUCAUCAACCAAGCAUUGGGAUAUUUGAAUCUUUUGAUGAGGUAUGAUUAAAUAUAAAUUUUAAAUAUAUCAAAAGAAAAGCAUGGUCAUGUGGUGUCAAGACCAAGAGACCGAAAAGAGUAUUGAACUACUCAUUACACAAAAGCAAACCAGCAUAAUUUUUUCAUAAAUAAAGCAUCAAAUACAAUUAGCCCUUACACCCUGGGUUCCCUUCUGUUAAUAGCUCACAAAUAAUUACUAAUGAUAAUCAAUUAGCCUUUUAUAUGAUUAUGUAUAAGUACUACAGAACUACCUUUCUAAACUUGAGUUCAAUUUGACUAAAUGCAGCUUUUGCUUAUGAAAAGAGGUGGUCAGAUCAUAUACAGUGGUUCAUUAGGUCCGCUAUCUAGCAACAUGAUCAAGUAUUUCGAGGUAAGAUUGUCUGAUAUUCAACAUCUAUACACAAGAUGGAGACGAAAAUACUAAAAUUGCUUUGUCACAGGCUAUACCUGGUGUUCCUAGAAUAAAAGAGGGACAAAACCCAGCAGCAUGGGUGUUGGAUAUAAGUUCACACAUAACAGAAUAUGUGAUUGGAGUGGACUAUGCAGAAAUUUACCGGAGCUCCUCCCUGUACAGGUAAGCCAGAUAAUCAUAAAGCUACAGAAAUUGUACUGUUAAACUGGUUUGAGCAAUAGGGGAAAAGAUAAAACAAAAUGAAUAUGUACCUUGUUUCUGCAGGGAGAACAUGCUUCUAAUUGAAGAGCUGGGGCAACCAGCGCCAAACACCGUGG